GUGAAUCAUCGAAUUUUUGAACGCAAAUUGCGCCUUUUUCGGAGGGCAUGUCUGUUUGAGGGCACGAUUUAACAAAUAAUGUGCAUUUGGUGUGCACACGUUGAUGAGCUUUCCAAAAUUAUGUAUUAUUAUUUGUGGUGGCGCGUAAUAAACAUCGCGAUUUUUUUUUUUAGUUCGAGUGUAGUAGAAUUUUUUCUUGCUUGUGUUGUUUAAAGCGUGAUCGCGCAAUUGAGUGGGGCGUUUC
rnacentral:misc_RNA from 1 species